rnacentral:rRNA from 1 species
AGUGAACGCUGGCGGCGUGCUUAACACAUGCAAGUCGAACGAGAACGGGUUAUAGCUUGCUAUAAUUGUCAGCUAAGUGGCGCACGGGUGAGUAAUGUAUAGGUAAUAUGCCUCUUACUAAGGGAUAACAAAUGGAAACGUUUGCUAAUACCUUAUACUCCUUAUUAACAUAAGUUAAUAAGGGAAAGAUUUAUUGGUAAGAGAUUAGCCUGUAUUGUAUCAGUUAGUUGGUGGGGUAAUGGCUUACCAAGACUAUGACACAUAACUGGUUUGAGAGGAUGAUCAGUCACACUGGAACUGAGACACGGCCCAGACUCCUACGGGAGGCAGCAGUGGGGAAUAUUGCACAGUGGACGAAAGUCUGAUGCAGCAACGCCGCGUGGAGGAUGACACAUUUCGGUGCGUAAACUCCUUUUAUAUGAGAAGAUAAUGACGGUAUUAUAUGAAUAAGCACCGGCUAACUCCGUGCCAGCCGCCGCCGUAA